rnacentral:rRNA from 1 species
GGUAGUUCACGCCGUAAACGAUGUCGACUUGGAGGUUGUGCCCUUGAGGCGUGGCUUCCGGAGCUAACGCGUUAAGUCGACCGCCUGGGGAGUACGGCCGCAAGGUUAAAACUCAAAUGAAUUGACGGGGGCCCGCACAAGCGGUGGAGCAUGUGGUUUAAUUCGAUGCAACGCGAAGAACCUUACCUACUCUUGACAUCCAGAGAACUUUCCAGAGAUGGAUUGGUGCCUUCGGGAACUCUGAGACAGGUGCUGCAUGGCUGUCGUCAGCUCGUGUUGUGAAAUGUUGGGUUAAGUCCCGCAACGAGCGCAACCCUUAUCCUUUGUUGCCAGCGGUUAGGCCGGGAACUCAAAGGAGACUGCCAGUGAUAAACUGGAGGAAGGUGGGGAUGACGUCAAGUCAUCAUGGCCCUUACGAGUAGGGCUACACACGUGCUACAAUGGCGCAUACAAAGAGAAGCGACCUCGCGAGAGCAAGCGGACCUCAUAAAGUGCGUCGUAGUCCGGAUUGGAGUCUGCAACUCGACUCCAUGAAGUCGGAAUCGCUAGUAAUCGUAGAUCAGAAUGCUACGGUGAAUACGUUCCCGGGCCUUGUACACACCGCCCGUCACACCAUGGGAGUGGGUUGCAAAAGAAGUAGGUAGCUUAACCUUCGGGAGGGCGCUUACCACUUUGUGAUUCAUGACUGGGGUGAAGUCGUAACAAGGUAACCGUAGGGGAACCUGC